AGAACACCCCUCAAGCCUAGCUUGGUCUUGGGGCUCGCCGGCUCGGCGGCCCCUAAACGCAGUGGCGGUGCUGGUGUGCUCUCCGCGUAGUCAUGUAUCUCGCGACAGAGUGGCGACGGCACCCGCCAGAACCCCAGUCUUUGG
rnacentral:misc_RNA from 1 species